UGCGCUCCACCAUGCCCACCGUGCGAUGGACGGCGGCGGGAGGCCCUCGGCGCGGUGGCCCAGCACGGCGACCCCAGGCACGGCAACGCUGGCACGGACAGACCCUGGUGCGGCAACUCCGGCGUGGUGGCGGUUCGGAUCCUGUGGCACGGCGGCCCAGACGAGUGCAGCGAGGCCGACGGGACCGUGGGGAGGUGGUGCGGCUGCGCCGGGCAUCGUGGGGAGGAUGGCGUGGCUGCGUGGAGGCGAUUGGCUGCGUCGAGCGGCGCGGCUACGAGGAGGCGGCAUGGCGGCGAGAUUGUUGGGUUCGUGAGCCCGCCGAUGAGGAGGUCCUCCACUGCAUCUCCACCAUCAUUGUCUGAUUAGCGUCGUGGGCUUUCCCUUCCUGACCGCGCCCCCUGCUCCUCUCCUCCCUCAAUUCUGCGUCGCGCCACGCCGUUUAAUAUUAUGUUCUCAAUAAGGUACACAACAGGUAAUUUGCUGCAGGUCAUCACUAAGGUCCACAAUGGAGAAAAGUGGACUAUAACCAUUAACAUGGUAGCACAUUCAUACACUGAAGAAUGUCUUCUAUGUCUGGAUUAAUGUACUUAUAACAGUACCUGCACAUAACAGUACCUGCACAUAUAUAUAAGGGUGCUCCUCUUGCUGGAUAAUAUCUCUGGAGUACCUGCAGAAGGGCCAUGCCCAUCAGUUUGGUUGAACUGGAGGCUGGAGCACUUGUCUCAGGAGUUGAAGCAAAAUUUGUUGAUGCAAAGACAAUGAAGCAUCUGCCUCUGAACCAGCUUGGAGAAAUCUGUGUUCGAGUACCAAACAUAAUGGAAGAUGAUAUUUGAUUAUUUUCAGCCUUAUUAAUUGUGUUUAUUUACAAAUAUAACUGUGUAUAUAUGCCAAUGUUUGGAUUGUGCUAUUAACUUGUGCUUUCAUUGUUUAACGUCUCGAUGGAUUGUGCUGUUUUAAUAUUAA